GUGAACCUAAGGUAUCUGGGUGUGAGGCAUUCCCAAAUAAAUGAGCUUCCUGAGAGCAUCAGAAAUCUUCGGAACCUACAAACCUUGGAUAUCUCCUGCUCUGGGAAUGAAUUUGAGCUGUCAAACGGAGUUUUGAAUCUUGCACAACUGAGGCACCUGAAGAUGUGCCGUACUGUGAAUAAUGGUGAGGUUAGAGUUCCACGAGGUAUCUCAAGACUCAGAAACCUCCAGACUCUAGAAGGUAUAUACGCAGGUGGUGGCAUUGCCAAGGAGUUAGGCAACAUGACACAACUCAGAUCACUCGACGUGAGAAGUGUAUCAGAUGAUCAUGCAGAUGAGCUAUAUGCUUCUGUCACGAAGUUAACUGGGCUUAGGAACUUGUCUCUUACUGCAGAGUGGAAUGGGAUCGCAUACGACUCCAGCAGCCCACUUCCGUAUGAGAAUUCGCUUUUCCCCUGCUUAGAAUCCUUCUCACCUCCGCCACUACUUGAAACACUUGAGCUAAAAGGGUGUUUAACAGAGAUGCCGCUUUGGCUUGGCUCAAUGGAGAACCUCACUCGGUUAGUUAUGGCCUCCUCCCAUUUGUCUGAGAACCCAACUACGAUUUUGCAGUUCCUUCCCAACUUGAAAUAUCUUUCAAUGUUCCAUGCUUACAAAGGAAAGCGUAUGGAAAGAGAGUUCUUCAGAGCUGGCGGUUUCCCAAAAUUGGAGUAUCUCAAAAUUGUUUCUCGUAAUCUGGUGGAAUGGACAGAGAUGGAAGAGGGAGCAUUGCCUUGCUUAAAACAACUCUAUUUUUGGAACUGCAUGAGACUGAUGGGUCUUCCUGAAGGAUUGCAACAUGUGGCCACACUCCAAAAAUUGGUUUUGUUUAAUGUGCAUGGAGAUCUUACUCGGAGGUUGAACCCCAAUGGAGGUCCACAGAAUUAUAAGAUAAAGCACAUCCCACUGGUAGAAUCUUAUGUGCACUUGUGUGGCUGGAUGGUUUGGAAGACAUAGCCUCACCAGAAUAUCCUCAACGUAUAAUGAUGAUUGUUUUAAGAACACUCCUCCUCCCAUCUACCCCCCCAGUAUAUACAUACCAAUGGCAAAUGGCCCAAGUUUGUAUCUUUCAUGAGGUUAAACAGCUUCUCAUGAAAAAUGGAAGAUUUUAUUCGAAUUUUCUUGCAUAUCAAUUAAUCCAAUCAGGAAUAUUAGAAAGAUCCACCAACACAAUGAAUACCAGAUAUAGGUGGAAAAAAAUCGCCUACAUAAUCUUUCAAAAACUCUGCCUGUAGAGAAAAGUCACUAAAUGUGACAAGAAUGUACACAAAUUUACUUAAUUUUAAUAAGGGGAGACCUUCAAUUCCAAGCUCGUGAUUCAUUUUUGGUAAGGAAGGCCUUCAUAUCAAUGUUCGUUGUUCCUUCCACAGAUCAAAAAUCCAUUGAUGCAGAAGAAAUUACAGAUAGUUUUUUUUCUUCUUGUCUUAACCUCAAGGACUAAGACAGACAUCCAAUCUUUAUGGAAAUUUCUCAGUGCUACAGGCCCCAUAGCAACUAAUCAAGGCUUGAUAUUGAGUCUAAUUGUACUUGUACGAUACUUCCAUGUCCAGUUUGAUAGCCGAUAAAAGCAAGAACAAAAUAAAAAUAUAGGAAUUACAUAAUAAAACUAAAUAAAAAAAGAAAAAUGAAAGUUUGGGAUUUGUAUGAGAGUGUACGCUAGGAUGGUGGCAUAUGCGCCUGUCAUGAAGCUAAUGGGUCUCUGCAACUUGUCUCUUAGGGUGAAAUCAUAUUUGUUGGAGGAUUCACUUAUCCCCUCCUCAAUUAAAAUCAUUUUCUUCUCCCCCUCUGCUUCAAACGAUAAAGCUAGAAGGGGCUGUAAAUACAAAUAAAUAAAAUGCAGCAUGUGGACAAGGCUGUAACUAAAAAAUUUGUGAAGCUAGAUUUUUGGAUUUUACUUGAAGUGGCUCUGCCCCUUUUAACAUCCCAACUUCACAUGUAGAGUUAGUUACUCUUGACCGGCUUUUAGUUUAUUAGCUUCUAUUACUGUAUAUAAUUGCUGAAGGAAUUGAAAUUUUCUUGACUGAUGUAUUGAUCAAAACAUUGCUAAUCAACGAAGGCCCUGAAUAGCAGAGAUCAAAUUUGAUGGCUGUAGCAAUUAUGAGUAUUGAUCAAAACAACGUUGAAAAUUUCAUUAACAACUUUGUUAUAUUCAGUAAACCCAAGAGGAAAUUUUUUUGUCCAAGUUUCAAAGUUGGCUGCUCUUGGUGGGUCUAAUGGGGCAAUAUUUCUGGCGUGUUUAGGUACAGAAGAGUGACAUGUAUCAAUUGCUCUUGUUUUCUUUGUUGAGGGGUGAAUAAGGCGUGAAUCGGUCAAGAUUUGGAACUUUCAAAAUGAUCAGAACCACACCUUUUAGUACCCUAAACUCAUCCGGAGAUGUUCCAUUAUUCAAGUUGGUAAAGUUGGUUGAAAAAUGAAUAUACAAGGCAUUGAAUACUGGGGGCACAGAGGGGUGACUUUGACUAAUGAUCUAACUUGGGCAGGUUGGAAGCUUCGCAUGGGACGCACAAUUCCAUGUGGGAGAAGAUGUCCAUGAAGCAGAGGAUUAUAAAGGGGAUCAGAACCAGUUGACUGCUGAAUUCGGGGAGUGAAUUGGACCCUUAACCAGUUCCUGUCAUGAAAUUUUCUCUUCCACGGAUCAACACUCAGGUUUUUUUAUUGUUCCCGGCAAACUCACCAAACCAAGCGCCAGGUAUGUUGGGCUUAUUUUGAUUGGUAUUUUAGUUUUUGAGAAGUUAAAAAGAAAUUCAGGUAAUCCACGACCAAGGUUUGAGUAUAUCGGAAAAAAUCUCGGUUUUGGGUUUUUUUUUUUUCAUCAGGAAUUUUAAGCUCAAUGGUGGGCUGCAGCUACAUUUUAAAGCUAAAUAGAAAAAUAAUUCAAACAUGCAUGUGGAAGGCGCUUCGAAUAGGUGAGCUUGAGCAAUGAAAGGACAGCCUCUUACUAUUGGACCAAAUGUGCUUUGUUGCUAUAACUGUGUUUAAUAUUGCGAAAAUGUACUACCCAAAGAGCCCUUUUUGGGUUUUAUUUUCUUCUAUAUUUUCUAAACAAAGCAUAUUUACAUGAUUUCCCAUACUUAUAUAUAUUUUUUCAAUAAAACAACUUUAAAAUAUUUAUUAUGGUUUCUUAGAAUUUUUUUUUAAUAUUUCCAUGAGUUUGGAUUCAUCCAUCGACAUUUUAUAAAAUACUCAUGAAUAUUUUUUUACAUAUUUAGAUAUAUCUAUAAAAUCAAGUUAUCAAUUUAUCUGUCAAAACCGAUAUUUUCACCCUUAUCCACCACCGCUAAAUAUUUUUGAGUCAAGUUGUAUAUAUAAAAUCCUGGAAUGGAAGAAUUGAGAUUUCCGGCACUUGCUAUUCGGUUGCUCCUGUUUUCUUUGUUAAAUUUUGUAUCAUAACUUGGUUCUCGGAAUUUCAGUUACAUUUGAUUUGAAAAUUAAUACUUUUUGCUUGAAAUUAGGCCCAAGGUCAUCCACACCAGGCAAGUUGGUACUUGAUACUUUCUUUUCAAUCUGCUCCAGUUGGUUGGGAAUUGAAUCUACAGAGCAAUAGAAACCCAGUACAUGCAAGGGUGAAUUUUGACUUGAGACCGAGGAAGAAGCAGUUUCCGAAUUAGUAGAAGAGAGAGAGAGCUCAACUGUUCUUUUCUUUUGGUUGGCGGCCGCAUUCUCAUGAAAUGGCUAAGUCUUUUGUGACAUUAUUCCAAUGGAGGCUGAACUCUGUUCUACUGCAAGAGAAUGAAAUUCUUUUGGCUGUGAAGGAUCAAAUCCUGUCACUCGUUAACAAACUUGAUGAGGUUGGAAGCUUUCUGGGACAUCCUGUUUUUUGGACGCUGCAUGCUCGUGAAAUGGCUGAGUCUUUUCUGAAACUAUUCGAACCAAAGCUGAAAAAGAAAGGAAAUGAUCAAAUGGUGUCACUCAUUAGGCAACUGGAUGAGGUUACCAGAGUUGCAGGAGAUGUGGAGAGAAUCAGGGCAUGCUGCCAAACUUGGGUGAGUGAGUUAAGGGUAAUGCUCCAUGAGGCAGAGGAUUACGUUGACAAUUUCAUAAUUAAGCUGUAUGGGCAUACCGGGCAGGAUCAGAAAGAGUCGAUUGCUGAAUUUGGAAGUGAACUUGAGAAUAUCAACACGCGAGUCUCACAAAUCAUGAACAGAAGGCCUCAACUUGGGGCCUCCCCUAUCUUAGAAGAGAUUCAACAAUUCCUCAGAUCAAGGUUUUCUUUUGAUGAAGAUGAUGAGGAAACUGCUCUGGCCUCUUGCAUGUUAAAUUACAUAAAUCUACCCUAUGACCUUAAACUCUCUUUGCUAUUCUGCCGUGCCUUUCCUGGUUACUAUCGAAAAACAAAAGGUGCAUUAGUUCGAGUUCUGGUAGCAGCAGGUUUAAUACAAGAAAAACCUGGAGAACUGAUGGAGGAAACAGCCCGGGAAAAUAUAGAAAAGUUGGUGGACCUAGGAAUGCUUGAAGAAGAUCAAUCUGAGUGGGAUUGUUUUAGAGUUCCGAGUCCAUACUAUGAGUUAUCUCUGAGUGUAACAGCUCGUCAUGUAUCAAUUCAUGACGCAGAAAACACCAUCACCAACAUGAACAGUCUCCUACAUUCACUGUUUGUUUCUGCAAAGGAUGGCCUUUCAAAGGCCAGCUCAGAUUGUUUGGAAACUGUGUUGUACAAUGCAAAACGUGUGCAAGUGUUGGACUUAGAAAAUACACAACUCAAGAGCUUGCCUGAUGAAGUAGGGAAAUCGGUGAACCUAAGGUAUCUGGGUGUGAGGCAUUCCGAAAUAAAUGAGCUUCCUGAGAGCAUCAGCAAUCUUCGGAACCUACAAACCUUGGAUAUCUCCUGGUCUGGGGAUGAAUUUGAGCUGUCAAAUGGAGUUUUGAAUCUUGCACAACUGAGGCACCUGAAGGUGUUCCGGCCUGUGAAUGAUGGUGAGGUUAGAGUUCCACGAGGUAUCUCAAGACUCAGAAACCUCCAGACUCUAGAAGGUAUAUACGCAGGUGGUGGCAUUGCCAAGGAGUUAGGCAACAUGACACAACUCAGAUCACUCGAAGUGAGAUGUCUUUCAGAUGAUCAUGCAGAUGAGCUAUAUGCUUCUGCCACAAAGUUAACUGGGCUUAGGAACUUGUCUCUUACUGUUGAGGGGAAUGGGAUUGCAUACGACUCCAGUGACUCAGAUGAUAAUGAAUAUUCAGUUUUCCCCUGCUUGGAGACAUUCUCACCUCCGCCACUACUUGAAACACUUGAGCUAGUAGGGUGUUUAACAGAGAUGCCUCUUUGGCUUGGCUCAAUGGAGAACCUCACCAAGUUAUAUCUGUGCUACUCUCAUCUUUCUGAGAACCCAACUACAAUUUUGCAAUUCCUUCCCAAUCUGAAAUAUCUUCUAAUGGGGGGUGCUUACAAAGGGAAGCGUAUGGAAAUAGAGUUUUUCAGAGCUGGAGGAUUCCCUAAAUUGGAGUAUCUCACCAUUGCUUCUGAUGAUCUAGUGGAAUGGACAGAAAUUGAAGAGGGGGCACUGCCUUCCUUAAAACAACUAAGAUUUUCCAACUGCACGAGACUGAUGGUUCUGCCUGAAGGACUGCAACAUGUAACCACACUCCAAAUAUUGGAUUUGUGGAAUGUGCACGAGGAUCUUAUUCGGCGGUUGAGCCCCAAUGGAGGUCCAGAGAAUUAUAAGAUCAAACACAUUCCAGUAGUAAAAUAUCUUGGGCAAAUGAUGUCGCGGGGGUUUUGGACCCAAUGACAAAUUUUAUGAGUUUUAUCAAGUUAUAAUGAUGUUCAAGAUUCAAUCUCAUGGAGAAGUGGCUUCAAAUAAGUAUUAAAAAUAAAUCUAAAUUGUGUAUGGUUAUCUUAACUAUAUUUGAAAAAUUCUUCUGCAACUUGACUUUGAUAAGGGAGACCUUCGAUUCCAAGUCCAUGAUUCCUUAUGUACUCAAUAAUCUGUAGAUGCAAAGAAAUUGCAGUUUUUUUUAGCUUAUUCUUCUUUUAACCUAAAGGACUAAAAGUCUGUUUAGUAAUGAUUUUAGAAAGUGUUUCUAACAUUUUUAACACUUAAAAAUUUUUAUCUUUCAAGUAUUAGUAAGACUAGAAAUGCUUCUAAAAAUCCAAACAUAGGCAUCCAGUACUCCAAGAAGCAUUGCUGCACACCAGUUGCCACACCCCUGAGAGCAACUGAUCAUGGUUUUAUAAACCAUUUGAACAAGACAGAUCACAGCAAUUCCUCGACAUGAUUGCAACAGCAAACACUUCAUAAAAUAGCGUCUUCAUAUUGAGUCAAAACGGAUUGUGUUUGUAUUGUACUUGGUGGGAGGUUGAGUCCCAAUGGAUGUAGGGAUAACUAUAAGAUCAAACACAUCCCUCGAAUUCAAUUCUUUGGACUAGUAAACCCAAAUUGAUUGAACCUGGAUGAAGCUUUGGAAAACAGUUUCUCAUGGAAAAUGAAUAAACAAGGCCACAAAAAUUGAAUACAUACAAGAGUGAAUUUUGAGUUGGAUUUUCUGAGGAAGAGAAAAAAAAAAUACACAGACCUUGAGGGGUUCCACAAGCAAUGAUCUUGUAACCUCUUUCUGAUAGGCAGCUUCUUGAAUCUGUAGAAUAGAGACCCCUGAAUCUUAUUUUCCACCCUGUGAAAUGGCCAGAUCUUUGGCAGCAUCAUUCCAGUGGAAGCUGAAUUCUACUCAACUGCAAGAUAUUGAAAUUCUUUUGGAUGUGAAAGAUCGAAUAGUAUCACUCAUAAGCAAACUCGUUGAAGUUGGUAGGUUUGUGGCAGAUGCGGACAGAAUCUUUAUAGCAGAGAUGUUAGCAUAGUUGGGUGAGGGGGUUGAAGAGAAGCAUUUGUGAAGCAGAGUACUAUGUCGAUGAUUUCAUAGCUCAAGUGUAUGGCCGAAAUCAGCAGGAUCAGAAAGAGAUGAUGGCCAAAUUUAGGAGUGAACUGGAGAAUAUCAAUUCAGGCAUCAUGAACAUCAUGCAUGGAAGGUUUCAACUAUGUUAGAAAUGACAAAACAGGACAGCAGAUCGAAGUUUCAUUUGGAGGAAGGUGAGGAAAUUGUCCAUGCCUCUUCCACAUUAAAUUAUAUAAAUUUUCCUGAUGAUCUUAAAAUCUGUUUGCUCUAUUGAUGUACCUUUAUUGAGGGCCGUACAAUAGCAAAAGAAUGAUUAGUUCGGCUUUUGGUGGCUGGAGGUCUAAUACAAGAAAAACCGGGUACUUGACUGGGGACAAAGCCCAGGAAACCAUAGAAACGUUAUUUGACUUUGAAUCUUAUACAACUAAGACACCUGAAGAUGGUCCGGCCAAUUAAUGGGGGUGAGGUUAGAGUUCCUGAAGGCAUCUCAAGACUCAAAAGCCUCCAGACUCUAGAAGGCAUAUAUACAGGUGGUAGCAUUUCCAAGGAAUUAGGUGUUCCUCAGAUGAUUCUGAAUGCCUCUAAAAGCCUCCAGGCAACUUGACACAACUAAGAUCACUCGGAAUCAGGUGUUUUUCAGAUGAUUAUGCCAGUGAUCUAUAUGCCUCGAUCAUGAAGAUGACUGGGCUCCUCACCUUCUCCCCUAGGGUGGAGAGGAUCCGCUCCAACUUCAAGAGCUCAUUUUGGUUUGCUGACUCACUUUUCCCCUCAGAAUCCUAGCUUAAUUGAGGGUCCUGCCUGGCUUGGCUCAAUGGAGAACCUCACCAAGUUACCAAUGGUCUCCUCCCAUCUAUCUGAGAACUAGACUACAAUUUUACAGUAGCUUCCCAAAUUGGAACAACUAACAAUAUUGAACACAUUACAAAAGGAAAUUAAUGGGAAGGGAGUUCUAUGGAGUAGGUGGGUUUCCCAAUUUGAGUGCCUCAUUAUUUCUUCUGAUGUUUUGGUGGAAUCUUCUUAGAUGGAAGAGGGAGCAAUGCCUUGCUUACAGUAUCCGUGUUUUCGGAACUGUUUUCGGUUGAGGGCACUGCCUGAUGGGCUGCAAUACAUGACCACACUCAAGAAGUUGAUUUUGUAUCCCAUACAUGGUGAUCUUGCUAGGAGGUUGAGUCCCAAUGGAGGUCCAGAGAACUAUAAGAUGAAGCACAUCCCCUCAAGUAGAGUCUUAUAAACAGCUGAAUAGAAUGAAUAGAACACAACAUACAGCAAGCAAAACGAGUACCAUCAGGCACUCUGGACAUUUGUAAACACCAAGCAUAAUGUGUUUUGGAUCGUACGGCCUCCUGCUUUUGAACUACAACAUGGUCAUCAGAAUCAAAUCAAGACUCGAGACAUGCAAACCCUGACAUUGAAAAAGGAAAUAAUCGAUGAGACUUAAAAUCAUUCCAGCGUGGAUUUCCUCAUUCCCCAAAAUCAUAGGGAUGAGAUAAAGAUGAGAUGAUUUUCCGAAAUCCUAAGGUUAAGAACUCAUUUGGAACAGUGGCUGGUGAAGAAAAAGGAAUGGGUUUAAUGCUGGGGAAUUUUUUUUUUUUUUUAUGUUUAAUUCUCUUUUUCCACAUUCAUAGAGGACAAAUUUGAUUUAAAAAUGGUGUUUUCGUAAGGAUUUGCGAUCAUUUUGGUGGGGUUUAUGCAAAAAUGGUUGUGGAAAAAACCAAAUUAUAAGCAUAGAGGCCGGUUGCUCUGUUUUUUGCUCUGAAGUCAUAGAUUGGGGGAAAAGAAAAAAAAAAGGAAAGAAAGUUGGAAAAUGAUAUUUACUUUGGUUUUGGUCUCAAGAAUAUGCCAAAAUGGACUCAGCUAAGCCUAAUUAUUUUAGAAGAUGAGUUUUGCUUGUCUUAAGGUCUGAAAGGAUGGGAAUAAUAGAUUUCAAAGUCUCCUUUUUCUUUUCUUUUUCUUAAUUUUCUGGACUGCCAGACAAAUAACUGUUGUUCUUCACUCAUUCCUGCACCAUAAAACUCAAAUCUAAAUCGUCCGGGCUCAUGGACUCAUUCCAAAUGCAACAUGAAGCCCAAUAAAAAUCAUUCGGGCAUGGAAUCAGAAAUACGUCGGCUGUGAUUGAUUAGAAAUCAUAGCAUUAGAAAUGGCAUGCAGCUAGUCUACAUGACAAAGAUGGUAUUUACUAGAACAGUCCCAGUACACAAUGCGGGGUGAUUAGUUCUUUUUUCCUUACUGCUCUGAAGUCUGAUCAAACUAAUAUUUCUGACCAAAAACCAACUCGACGCAUAAAACCUGCACGUUGAUGAAAUUACAACAACCAAUUACAGCUUGAAUUUCAAUUUACCUCCAAGGAAAAGAAAGUAAAAAACAGGUAACAAAAUAAACCUCUUUGAAGCAAUGGAUGAACACAUGUGCUUGCUCCUUCAAUUGUGGAAAUCUGGAUGUGCUCUCAAAUUCCCAAUAUCAAAACUGUAAUUACAAGGUACUUCAAAUUUUGAACAAGGAUAAUUGUCCUUUUUUUGCACAAAUACAAAAAGCCAGGUAGCAGGGAAUUACAGAAAGAUGUUUCUUGGUUUCUGAGAGUGACCAAUAACCUGAAAUUUGAAGGUGAUUUAAUUCUGAGAAUCACUCAUAAGCAUCCACCCUACAUUAUCAAAGAACAAGCUUCCAAGUGAUAAUAAAUUCUCCAAUUUUUGUUCACACCAAAAAAAUUAGCAGUAUGCUAGCAACAAACUAAUGGACAAUAAUGAUGUAGAAUACCAGAUAUGGAAAUCAGAAAGGUAAUAUUUUCAUUUAAUUCUAUCAAAAAUGCUUUCAUGGAACGUCUUUGACACUGUUUUUGUAAUGGUUUUUUGGAUAUCUCCUGGUCUGGGAUGGAAUUUAGUUGUCAAAUGGGGUUCUGAAUCUUGUACAACUGAGGCACCUGAAGAUGUUCCAGCCUAUCCAUGAUGGUGAGGUUAGAAUUCCACAAGGUAUCUCCAGCCUCAGAAAACUCCAAACUCUACAAGCUGUAUACGCAGGUGGUGGCAUUGCCAAGGAAUUAUGCAACUAUAUCAACUUUAUUUGGUAUGAAGAUUCAGUUUUCCCCUGCUUGGAGACAUUCUCACCUCCGCAACUACUUCAAAUACUUAAGCUAACUGGGCGUUUAUUUGAGAUUCCUGCUUGGUUUGCCUCAAUGGAGAACCUCAGCCAGUUACGUAUGAGAUGCACUCAUCAUCUCUCUGAGAACCCAAAUACAAUUUUGCAGUUCCUUCCCGAUUUGAAAUAUCUUCUAAUGGGGCAUGCUUACAAAGGUGCGAGUAUUGCCUUGUCUCAUCCUCUCCCACCUUGAUUAUGUUGUAGUGUAACUAGGUUGAUUUUUAUAAUCAAAUUACUCCUAACCAAUGUUUUCAGAAUUAGACCGAUCAUUGAACCGAAAAAGUUACUAUUUUAUGGUUCAUUAGUGAUGUUAUAAAUAUAUAAUUUAUAUAUUAUUAAAAUUUAAAUAAUAAUAAUAAUUUAUAUAUUAUUUUAAAAUUAAAUUUUUAUUUGAAAAAUCAUAAAAUUAGUUUCAAAUUACAAAUUUGAAGUUUGAAACUUUAAAUCAAAAAUUUAUUUUAUAAUCAUAAAUUUAUUUAAAAUUAUAAUAUUAAUUAUUUUCAUUCAUUUAAAUUAAAAUCACAAGUUUUAAAAAUCAAUGAAGUAAAAAAAUAAUAAAUAUAAAACAAAAUAAAUAAUAAUGUUGAUGGAGUAAAAAAAUAAAAAUAAAAAAUUGGAAAGGGCGGCCAAAAAGGUCGGAAAAUGUCAAAAAGGAAAAUAAAAAAUGUCAAAAAUUUGGGCGGCCAAAAAGGACGGGUUUUGGGGCACCGGAAAAUGUCAAAAAUCUGGGUGGGAGCACCGGAGAGGAAAGGGAAAAAAAUCUGGGUAGGGAAGGGAGAGGUAGAAGGAAGGGUUUUGGCACCGAAGGGCGAGGAAGAAGGAAGGGUUUUGGGGGGCACCGGAAAAUGGAAAAAACCUAGGUGGGGACGUCGAGGCUGGGAAGAACGAAGGGUUGCGGGGCACCGGAAAUGGAAAGGGAAAAAAAUCUGGGUCAGGGCAUUGCGAGGGGCUGAGAAGAAGGAUGGUUGUACGGCGGCGGCGGCGGCGGCGCUGAAGCAGGCUGAUGAAGCGUUGGAUGGGGGAGGAGAACUGUUCGGUUCACCCGAAACCGGCCGGGUCAUCCGGUUCAUCGGUCCGACCGCGGUUCCAGCGAUCCGACGUCGGUUUUAAGGCUCCCGGCUCAAAUGGCCGAACCGGACCGGAUUGGUGACCGGUUUUUAAAACCAUGCUCCCAACCCUCUCAGUUGGAAGCUUCUUUUACUGUACUCUGUGCGUUAUAUUUAAAAGAAACUCUUUUCUCAAAUUUCUUGUCUGGAACUUAAUAAAAAAACUCAAAACCAUCUUUGGUUGGCGAUGUUACCAAAGUUGGGAGACGUGCAAAACCUUGGCAGGAGAAGAUGUUACCAAAGUUGGGAGAUACACAAAACCUUGGUAGGAGAACAUGUUACCAAAGUUGGGUGAGUAAGUCCAGGGGAGGCAACAGUGAAGCAGAGGAUAGUGAAGAUUUCCUAAUUCAGGUCGAUGGCCGGGACUAGGGGAUCAGAAAGAGUCGAUUGCUGAAUUUUCUCUUCCAUAUUUGAUAAAGUUUUAUAAUACCAAAUGCUGUUUUUUCUUUUUUCUCUGUAAACUUUAGCCUGCCUCAGCUAUAGUAAAAAAACAGUUUAGUUUUGAAUUGUAGUUAGGGAGUUGGGAAAGUGUGGUAAACUGUAAACAUAGAGAAAAACAGUUCUAAUGCAUCCUUCUGCACUUUAUUUGGCUUUAACUUAACAGAGAGAGGUUUUUGAAGAUGUUGGAAUUCAUCAAGGUGUGAACGUUCUGUAUGGCUACUGACGGCAAGUUAGUUGGGACUUGAAAGAAAGCAGUUCCUAUUACUGUGCAGAAAAAAUCAUAAAUACUAGGCAUAUGAACAGAAAAAAUUCAGGUAACCCACUACCACUAUAGUUUUUUGACUCCUGGAAUGCACUCUUUAAUAUCACCUACAUGUGUUAGUCUGUUUCUCUUGUUUUGCUUGUUAAAAGGGUUUGUAACUUUGUUCAUACUAAUUUCAUUCAAAUUUGAAUCAAAAAAUGGUUUUUUUCCUGAAAAAGUUGAGAUUUAGGCCAGCCUUACCCACAGCAGGCAAGUUGGUGGUUCAUACUUUCUUUUCAAUCCAACUCAACAUAGUUGGGAAUUUAAUUGGCAAAGAAAUACAGACUGAAUACAUACAAGAGAGCAGCAAUCCAAGUACUUGAUCUUGUGACCUCCUCUUUCUCAGAAGCACUUUCAGAAUUCGUAGAAGAGGGAGACCUCAACACCUUCUUUUUGGUUGUCCGUUGCACGCUCAUAUCAUGGCUGCUUCUUUUGUGACAUUAUUCCAAUGGAGGCUCAACUCUAUGCUCCUGCAAGAGAAUGAAAUUCUUUUGGGUGUCAAGGAUCAAAUUGAGUCGCUCAUUAACAAACUUGAUGCGGUUGGAAGCUUUACGGGAGAUGUGGACAGGAUCUUGGGAAGAGAAAGUUGUCAUCUAACAUGGGCGAGUGAGUUGAGGGGAAUGCUCUGUGAAGCAGAGGAUUUUGUUGAUGAUUUCAUAAUUAAGGUGUAUGGGCAAACUGAAAAGGAUCGGGAGGACUCUAUUGCCGAGUUUAGAAAUGAACUUCAGAACAUCAACUCAAGAGUCUCAGAAAUCUUGAACAGAAGACCUAGACUUGCAGCCUCCCUGAUGUUAGAAGAGAUUCAACGGUUUCUCAGGUCAAAGUUUGUUUUUGAUGAAGAUAAGGAAACUGCUCUUGUCUCUUGCAUGUUAAAUUACAUGAAUCUACCCUAUGACCUUAAACUCUCUUUGCUAUUUUACUGUGCCUUUCUUGGGAGGUAUGGACAAACAAAAGGCGCAUUAGUUCGAGUUCUGGUAGCGGCAGGUUUAAAACAAGAAAAACCUGGAGAACUGAUGGAGGACAAAGCCCAGGAAAAUAUAGAAUGGUUGGUGGACCUGGGAAUGCUUGAAGAAGAUUAAACUGAGUGGGAUUGUUUUAAAGUUCCGAGUCCAUACUAUGAGUUAUCUCUGACUGUGAUGAAUGCAGAAGAAUUUUUUAUAACCACUGCAAAUUCAGAUUCUAUUAUACCUCCAACAGCUCAUCAUGUAUCAAUUCAUGAAGCAGACAACACCAUCCCAAACAUGAACAGUCUCCUACAUUCGCUGUUGGUUUCUGCAAAGUAUGGCCUUUCAAAGCCCAGCCCGGAUUGUUUGGAAACUGUGUUGUACAAUGCAAAACUUCUGCGAGUGUUGCACUUAGAAAAUAUAGAACUUAAGAGCUUGCCUGAUGUAGGGAAAUUGGUGCACCUAAGGUAUCUGGGUGUGAGGCAUUCCGAAAUAACCGAGCUUCCUGAGAGCAUCAGCAAUCUUCGGAACCUACAAACCUUGGAUAUCUCCUGGUCUGGGAAUGAAUUUGAGCUGUCAAAUGGAGUUUUGAAUCUUGUACAACUGAGGCACCUGAGGAUGUUCCGGCCUAUGAAUGAUUGUAAGGUUAGAGUUCCACGAGGUAUCUCAAGACUCAGAAACCUCCAGACUCUAAACGGUAUAUACGUGGGUGGUGGCAUUGCCAAGGAGUUAGGCAACAUGACACAACUCAGAUCACUCGACGUGAGAAGUGUAUCAGAGGAUCAUGCAGGUGAGCUAUAUGCCUCUAUCAUGAAGCUAACUGGGCUUUGCACCUUGUCUCUUACUGUGGAGAGUGAGAGGGUCUCAUACAACUCCAGCAGCUAUUUUUGGUAUGAGAAUUCGCUUUUCCCCUGCUUAGAAUCCCUCUCACCUCCACCACUACUUCAAAAACUUUCACUAACCGGGCAUUUAAUCGAGAUUCCUGUUUGGCUUGGCUCAAUGGAGAACCUCACCAAGUUAUAUAUGUGCUUCUCUCAUCUUUCUGAGAACCCAACUACGAUUUUGCAGUUCCUUCCCAACUUGAAAUAUCUUUCAAUGUUCCAUGCUUACAAAGGAAAGCGUAUGGGAAGAGAGUUCUUCAGAGCUGGCGGUUUCCCAAAAUUGGAGUAUCUCAAAAUUGUUUCUCAUAAUCUGGUGGAAUGGACAGAGAUGGAAGAGGGAGCAUUGCCUUGCUUAAAACAACUCUAUUUUUGGAACUGCAUGAGACUGAUGGGUCUUCCUGAAGGAUUGCAAUAUGUGGCCACACUCCAAAAAUUGGCUUUGUUAAAUGUGCACGAGGAUCUUAUUCGGAGGUUGAGCCCCAAUGGAGGUCAAGAUAAUUAUAAGAUCAAACACAUUCCACGUGUAUCAUAUUUUGGGCAUAUGAGUUUUUAG
rnacentral:lncRNA from 1 species